GCCGCAGGCCCCCUAAACUCUGUUUUAUUUUGCAACUCUGAAUUAUAAAGCAAAUAAGUUAAAACUUUCAACAACGGAUCUCUUGGUUCUGGCAUCGAUGAAGAACGCAGCGAAAUGCGAUAAGUAAUGUGAAUUGCAGAAUUCAGUGAAUCAUCGAAUCUUUGAACGCACAUUGCGCCCAUUAGUAUUCUAGUGGGCAUGCCUGUUCGAGCGUCAUUAAGUCCAUUAAGCCCUGUUGCUUAGCGUUGGGAGCCCGCCGGCCUGGCCCGCAGCUCCUCAAAAUUAGUGGCGGAGUCAGCGUAUACUCUAGGCGUAGUAAUUUUCACCUCGCUUCUGUGUUGCGCUGGCGCCGGCCGUAAAACACCCCAUCACCAAUGGUUUGACCUCGGAUCAGGUAGGAAUA
rnacentral:rRNA from 1 species